GAUCACCUAUCACUCUGUCCGGGUUCUAAGUAGUAGUGCCGCAGGUAACCAACAAUUGAGAGGUUUACCUAUAGCCUUCUGCUUAACACCUUGAAGAGUUGAUCU
rnacentral:pre_miRNA from 1 species